CCGAGUUUUACAACUCCCAAACCCCUGUGAACAUACCACUUGUUGCCUCGGCGGAUCAGCCCGCUCCCGGUAAAAACGGGACGGCCCGCCAGAGGACCCCUAAACUCUGUUUCUAUAUGUAACUUCUGAGUAAAACCAUAAAUAAAUCA
rnacentral:misc_RNA from 1 species